rnacentral:rRNA from 1 species
CCUACGGGUGGCUGCAGUGGGGAAUAUUGGACAAUGGGGGCAACCCUGAUCCAGCCAUGCCGCGUGUGUGAAGAAGGCCCUCGGGUUGUAAAGCACUUUCAGUGAGGAAGAACGCCUGGUGGUUAAUACCCAUCAGGAAAGACAUCACUCACAGAAGAAGCACCGGCUAACUCCGUGCCAGCAGCCGCGGUAAUACGGAGGGUGCGAGCGUUAAUCGGAAUUACUGGGCGUAAAGCGCGCGUAGGUGGCUUGAUAAGCCGGUUGUGAAAGCCCCGGGCUCAACCUGGGAACGGCAUCCGGAACUGUCAAGCUAGAGUGCAGGAGAGGAAGGUAGAAUUCCCGGUGUAGCGGUGAACUGCGUAGAGAUCGGGAGGAAUACCAGUGGCGAAGGCGGCCUUCUGGACUGACACUGACACUGAGGUGCGAAAGCGUGGGUAGCAAACAGGAUUAGAUACCCGGGUAGUC